ACACAUGCAAGUCGAACGAACCUUCGGGUUAGUGGCGGACGGGUGAGUAACGCGUGAGAAUCUGCCCUCAGGAGGGGGACAACAGCUGGAAACGGCUGCUAAUACCCCAUAUGCCGCGAGGUGAAAUGAAUUUCGCCUGAGGAUGAGCUCGCGUCUGAUUAGCUAGUUGGUGUAGGUAAUGGCUCACCAAGGCAUCGAUCAGUAGCUGGUCUGAGAGGACGAUCAGCCACACUGGGACUGAGACACGGCCCAGACUCCUACGGGAGGCAGCAGUGGGGAAUUUUCCGCAAUGGGCGAAAGCCUGACGGAGCAACGCCGCGUGAGGGAUGAAGGCCUCUGGGCUGUAAACCUCUUUUAUCAAGGAAGAAGAUCUGACGGUACUUGAUGAAUAAGCCACGGCUAAUUCCGUGCCAGCAGCCGCGGUAAUACGGGAGUGGCAAGCGUUAUCCGGAAUUAUUGGGCGUAAAGCGUCCGCAGGCGGCCCUUCAAGUCUGCUGUUAAAAAGUGGAGCUUAACUCCAUCAUGGCAGUGGAAACUGUUGGGCUUGAGUGUGGUAGGGGCAGAGGGAAUUCCCGGUGUAGCGGUGAAAUGCGUAGAUAUCGGGAAGAACACCAGUGGCGAAGGCGCUCUGCUGGGCCAUCACUGACGCUCAUGGACGAAAGCCAGGGGAGCGAAAGGGAUUAGAUACCCCUGUAGUCCCGGCCCGUAAACGAUGAACACUAGGUGUCGGGGGAAUCGACCCCCUCGGUGUCGUAGCCAACGCGUUAAGUGUUCCGCCUGGGGAGUACGCACGCAAGUGUGAAACUCAAAGGAAUUGACGGGGGCCCGCACAAGCGGUGGAAGUAUGUGGUUUAAUUCGAUGCAACGCGAAGAACCUUACCAGGGUUUGACAUCCUGCGAUCUCUUGAAAACAGGAAGAGUGCCUUCGGGAACGCAUUGACAGGUGGUGCAUGCCUGUCGUCAGCUCGUGUCGUGAGAAUGUGGGUAAGUCCCGCAACGAGCGCACCCACGUCUUUAGUUGCAAGCAUUUAGUGGGCACUCUAAAAGAACGGCGGUGAUAACA
rnacentral:rRNA from 1 species